GAAAAUAUGAUUUUAGUUGAUCAUGCAUAUACCUUCUGUUUUUUUAUUUUAUACACUCAAACUUUUUGAGUGUCAACGGUAUGCCAUUCAGGUAGCUGCUGGUGAUAACAGUAGUUUUAUGAAAAGUAAGUCACUGGACUCAUGGAGGUUAUAUUCUAGAGAAUAAGACAACAACCAAGUUAGAAAGGAAAUAAAGAUUGUUUGAUUUUCUAACAAUAGGAAAAAUAGGGUUAUAUGAUGGAGAAUUAAUGUAUUGGUGAUUGCAGACAACCUCAGAAGGAUAGUCUGGGAGGCUUUUUCCGAGGUGGGACGUGAUGGGUGAGAUCUGUCCAUGCAUAAAGUGAGGAGAAGAGUGACUACGGAGAUGGAACAGCAAAUCGAACAGUUCUAAUAUGGAAAAGAAUACAGCAAACAAUAGAAGUAGAAUGAUGCCAGAGUGGUUGGUGACAGAUGAUGGAGGGGGAAGGCACUACCAAAUGGCAUCAGAGAGUUGGACAGAAUCCUACUUGUGUCUUGUAGAAGCUGGAAGUCUGCAUCUGAAGUUUGAUGUAAACCAAAUGGCAUCUUCUAGAGGCCUAAGAGAUGCACAACACUGCUCUGGUGUUCCUGCCUCCUCACCUUACUUAUCCUGCGCUCUCUGCCUUUACUUCCCUUUCUCCCUCAAAUGGCUCCAGGUAAGAAAUACUACUAUUAGAAGUUAUCUAGAAAUUCUAGCCUUGGACAGAAGACAAAAGUCUUUAUAUUCCUCUCCAAAAUAUGCAAGCCCUGCCUACCUAAUCUGAGGAGUAGAAUGUGCACAGUCACUGUGUUGACAAUGUCAGUUGGAAGCUCAGACUGAUGGAAAAACUAAAUACAUGCUCCUUGGGUAAAUCAAGCAGGGUUCAACUAUCUAGAAUAUGUAAAAGAAAUCAGCACAGCCAUGGUAUACAUCACAGAGGUCAGCAACAUACUUCAGGACAGAUGGGGAUUCCACCUUUUGAAAUCCUCACUAUUGGGUGCCUGAAGUGAAAGUGGGUAAGGUAAUCAGAUAGUGAAGUGAAAGUUGCUGAGUCAUGUUCGAUGCUUUGUGACCCCAUGGACUUACACAGUCCAUGUAAUUCUCCAGGCCAGACUACUAGAGUGGGUAGCCUUUCCCUUCUCGAGGGGAUCUUCCCAACCCAGGGAUCAAACCCAGGCCUCCCACAUUGCAGGUAGAUUCUUUACCAGCUGAGCCACAGCGAAGUUCACUGGGUGUGUAGGUACAGAUAAUAAUAUCUGAAUAAAAAUCAUUUCAGUGUUCAUAGUCUUUCUCUUUACAUUUUGACUGAAGUACCCGAGAGUGGAUCAGUUCUCUAAGUAGACUAGCCUGGAUAUGUGCUGGGGACCACUUCUUUGAAGCCAGGAGCACCUUUUUAAACUCAGAUUUAUACUGUAGAAAUAAAUGUAGACUAACCAAAUGAAAACAAGCAAAGGCUAUUUAUUCGGAGCUCGCUAUAGUAUGCGAGUCAGUCACUGUCACUUGUAUUUUAGCAGAGACUCAAAGGCAGACAGUUCAGUUCAGUCACUCAGUUGUGUCCGACUGUUUGCGACCCCAUGGACUUCAGCAUGCCAGGCUUCCCUGUCCAUCACCAACUCCUGGAGCUUGCUCAGACUCAUAUCCAUCGUGCUGGUGAUGCUAACCAACCAUCUCAUCCUCUGUUGUCCCCUUCUCCUCCUGCCGUCAGUCUUUCUCAGCAUCAGGGUCUUUUCCAGUGAGGCAGUUCUUCACAUCAGGUGACCGAAGUAUUGGAGUUUCAGCUUCAGCAUCAGUCCUUCCAAUGAAUAUUCAGGACUGAUUUCCUUUAGGACUGGUUUGACUGAUCUCCUUGAAGUCCAAGGGAAUCUCAAAUGUCUUCUCAAAUACCACAGUUCAAAAGCAUCAAUUCUUCAGUGCUCAGCUUUCUUUAUGGUCCAAC
ensembl:lncRNA